GAACAAUAGUAUGCGUCCGCUCACGUGACGCAACGUCAACUUAAAUCCCUUUUAUUUGAGUCCGUGAAUCAUUAAUGGAGGCAGUCGUUGCCCCCGAGGAGAAACGGAUCCGUUUGGACGGAGAAAAAAGAGGGUUACAUGACAUUACAAUGUAUCUGGCAAGAGGAGCGGGUCUCUCGCAGAGCAGCAGCAGCUUUUUCCACAUGUCGCCCCAUUCAGAGGAGAGGGUGUUCUGUCGUUUUUAAAGUGCCAUAUAUUUACUGGCCAUUAGCGGUUUGGCGCUUAUUUCCCGUCAACAUGGAGUUGCAGGCGUGGAAAAGACCAGCCACAACUAUUAAUCAUUCUGGGCGGACAUGAACAUCACCCCACUCCCACACCAGCCUUUGUUUUCUCAAACUACAAGAUCGUCAACAAAACAGGAAAGUUGGAGAAUGUUGGAGGCGCUGGAGAAUGUUUGGCGGACGUAACGCAGGACAGAAAGCAGACCCUAUACUCCCACGCAGCCUUUCGCCACCGCACCUGAACUUUUCCCUGACCCGGGGAGAGACAACCAAAGUGUGAAGUUUAAAAUCCAGAAGUCUUGGAAAAGAAGGCACAUAGUCUAUCAAGGACAUUUGUUUUACAGACAAUCGAUCUUAUUCCUAAGAACGUAUACACUACCUUAUAAGACCCAUAAGACCUGGACCCUAACUGUGGUUCAAUUCGUAGGCAAAUAUAAUUUGAACAUAUGGUUUUGAACGUUCAUAACACUGCUCCGUUGUUUGAAUAGAGGUAUGCAUUCGCAAAUGCAUAUUUGCUGACAACUAAAGGGAACUAAAGGCGCCAACCACUUGUCACCAUUCUUUCUUUGGAUGGCGGCCAGAGAGCGCUACAUAUCUCCCCACAAUGUUGACAUCCGGAGGUCUAACGAGUAGGCUUAGGUUACCGAUAAACUCCACUAAAGAUAAAUGCUACUCGAAGGUUUACAACCGCCAACAUCAAGGCUAAUGUGAAAUACAACAGUUUAUCUAGUGCCCUUCUGGAUCACUGUUUAAUGGCAGAAGGAGAGUUUGAAUGCGUUUCAAUGUUUGAACUGUGAGUCGUUCAUGUGGAUUGUUUAACUAGUUUCAAUAAAGAGUCAAUAUUUGUUUGUAUUGUUUGUGUUGUAUUAGCUUUUUGUAUUUUUUUCUAUUUCAAAACUACAACUAUAAGACCACUAGAAAUUCAGGUAGGCUACUAACAUAUUAUGAUGCUAAUAACAGGCUCCGCUUUAAUAUAAGGGCUCAUGAUAAUGGUAAUAAUAAUAGCAUAUCAUAAAGACAAUAAUCAUACCAAUAGUAUGUUAAUAAAUAAUAAAAUAAAUGACAAUAUUAAUGCUAAUAUCACCAAUAAUCCGUAUAUGAUAAAGACGUUGGAAUCUUAAUCCACCAAAUU